rnacentral:piRNA from 1 species
UACCCAUCAAACGGCGGGGGGUGCA